rnacentral:misc_RNA from 1 species
UAUCACUAUUCAAGCCCGGCUUGCUGUUGGACAUUUUGUCGUUAAAAAGACAUGUCCUAAAGAUAAUGACGGUGUCUUUUGGACCCUAGAUGCAACGAGCUUUAACCAGCACGCAUUGUAGUAAAACCAUUAGACCCGGUCUUUUUAACCAAUUUUAUAAGGUUGACCUCGGAUCAGGUAGGAAUACCCGCUGAACUUAA